rnacentral:sRNA from 1 species
AUUGCCCAAGACCAGCCCUGCCACGUGCGCAGCCACCGGCGAGUCGGCGGCGACCUCGCUCUCCGGCCUUCUCCCCCCCUCGCCAUCGCCGGCCGCGAUGCGCAACUCCGGCGAACUGAUCCUCCCGGGUUGCCCGCCCCCGAUCCGCGUCUUCUCAGCCUCCAUUCACCGUCGGUGUGGUGGCUUGGCUUCGCUCGCAUCACCUCACCUCGCCCUCGUCGCUGGCGUCGCUCAGAUUCGAUCCACCUUCUGAUGAUCCCCUUCCCCCAAAUCAAUAGUCCUGUUCCAUUUGUUUUUUCGGUCUUGAACUAUUAGAUUGUUCCUCUGAUUCUUGAUGCUAGUAUAUUUAUUUAUAGCUGUAUAGUUUCAACUUAAUGUGCACUGCAUAUUUAUGAUGGAUAAUGCAAUGUUCAUGGCUUGAUGC